rnacentral:rRNA from 1 species
GACGAACGCUGGCGGCGUGCCUAAUACAUGCAAGUAGGACGCAGUUGCGAACGGGUGAGUAACGCGUAGGUAACUGCCUAUUAGAGGGGGAUAAAUAUUGGCAACGAUAGCUAAUACCGCAUACUAGUAGAUGGACCUGCGUUGUAUUAGCUAGUAGGUAGGGUAAUGGCCUACCUAGGCAACGAUACAUAGCCGGCCUGGGAGGGUGGUCGGCCACACGGGGACUGGGGCACGGGCCAGACUCCUACGGGAGGCAGCAGUAGGGAAUCUUCGGCAAUGGGGGGAACCCUGACCGAGCAACGGCGGGGGAGUGAAGAAGGUUUUCGGAUCGUAAAGGUCGGUUGUUAAGGAAGCGGUACUUAACGAGAAAGGGACGGCUAACUACGUGCCAGCAGCCGCGGUAAUUC